rnacentral:lncRNA from 1 species
UCGGCGAGUCGGAUGAAGAUUGUCUGAGUUCUUGGAUCAAGAGGGUACUCGUCGAGUCGAUGCCACACUCGACGAGUAGCAGCGUGUAGAACUGAGAAGUGAGAGUAGGACUCGGCGAGUUGGGUGGCCCAACUCGGCGAGUCAGCCCCAAAAGUAAGUUGACUUUGACCAAGGGUAAAAGAGUCAUUUUACCCCAAGUGCAGUGUUUAGUAUUUGAUUGAGUGUGUUCAUGGGCUUGUAGCCGAGGAGAUUCAGGAGCAGCAGCCGGUAGCUUUCAGAGACACACACUCAGCCGCCAGUUUACGAGGUGAGUUUCCUUCAAGUAGGGACGGGUCUAAGGCCACAAUGCCGGCCCGUCCAGUUAGCAGUAGUUUCCGGACUUCGGUCCGAUGUAGCAGCUAGUAUGUUUGAUGCCUUCGUGGCUCAGACAGGAUUUAUGUGCUAUGUUUUAUGUGUUACGUGUUAUGUGUUCCGGGCUACGGCUCGAUGUAGUAUGCAGUAUAUGUGUUCAUGCUAGUUGAUAUGCUAUGAUAUGUUCAGUCAGUUAGUUCCGGACUCCGGUCCGAUGCAGGGGACAAGGUCCCAGUUAGUUCCGGACUUCGGUCCGAUGCAGUUAGUUCCGGACUUCGGUCCGAUGCAGUUAGUUCCGGACUUCGGUCCGAUGCAGUUAGUUCCGGACUUGGGUCCGAUGCAGGGGACAAGGUCCCAGUCAGUUCCGGAUUUCGGUCCGAUGCAGUUUCCGGGCUUCGGCCCGAUGCAGUGGGCAAGGCCCAAUAUGUGUUAUAUGCUAUUGUAUGGUAUGUGGUAUUUUGGGGGAGCUCACUAAGCUUCGUGCUUACAGUUUCAGUUUUGGUUUCAGGUACUUCCGCAAGCAAAGGGAAGAGCUCGGGAUGAUGGCAUCGCACACACCACCGCCUCAGCUUUAGCCUGGGAUUGAUUUAGAUGUUUUGAUCUGAUGUAGUAUGAUACAGUUUUCCGCACAGUAUUUUAUUAUGUUUUGGAAUACAUCACGCAUGGUUUUAUUAUAUGAUGCUCUGAUUACAGUUUUGAUUAUAUUAAAAACAAAAAUUUUUGGGUCGUAUUUUUGGGUCGUUUCAAGUUGGUAUCAGAGCCCUGGUUUGAGGGAUUCGGAUACACUUCCGGGUGUAUCUGAACUCAAACUAAGGGGAAAUAAAAAGAUUUCUAAAAGUAAAAUGUUUUCUAAAAGAAUUUUGAAAGCACUUAGAAAGAAAGAAAUUUUUAAACAAGAUAAGGGUGUGGUGCAUGCGAUCAGCCGAGCUCAAGUAAGUACUCCCAAAUUACCCAUACAAGUUAUUUGUUCAAUUUCAGUUUUAGUAGAACAGCAUGCUAGUAUAGGACUAAGGAUUUAGGAGAAUGCCUUAUGUGCCUGCUUAUGUGUUACAGCUUUACGAGUAUUGCAUGCUAGUACUGAGUAGACAGCAGUAGGAUAGCCUGAUUAGGUUAUGCCUGAUAGCAGGAGCUUAGCAUCUUAUGCUAGAUCAGUUUCUCGUUUUGAGAAUAGUUUUGCCUAAGUAUGUUCCCUUAUUCCGAAUGCUGCUUGCUUCGUGCUUUGUGGGAGUUCUGAGUGAUGGAAGUUAACCAUUAAGUGAACACGUUACACCAUAUGUGAUCAGGGUUAAAUAAUCCCAGAGUGCUGGAACUGACCCUAUUGCGCAGCUCUUGUUUGAGUCCAACCGUUAUAGGGACGGGUCUUUUACUUGAAGGAUUAUCUGAUCUUCGUCACAUGUGAUGGUGUUCAGGUGAUGGUUAAUUAGCAUUAUAAGGAGACCUGCAGCAGCUGAGGACUAGUUGAGUUAAGUCUGAGGUUUCCCUGGGGCAAGCCUAGGAUGAGAGUAGCAGAGAUCAGUAGUAGUAGAAGUGACUUGGUGGAGUCAGGGCAGUUCUUGAAGAAAGUACGGAUAGAUGUGGAAGGUAGUAUGGGCCCGUACUACUGGAAGCAGAGGAUCCGUACUCGAAUCAAGAAAGGCUGAGACAAGACCAGGAAGCUAGUUGUAGUAUCAAUGAUCCCUCAAGAUAUUUCUGUUUUCUGAUGUAAUUGUGAUGUGUUUCAGAAUGGUGGUUUUGCGUUCGAGACCAGCAGCCGGCAGCGGAGGUGCCGGGGAGGGAUCAGGUUCAGGCUCGGGGGAUGAGCGCAUGGAUGAGCAGACCCGAGAGUUUCUUUCUUCGGAGAUUACGCGCAUCAUUAUAGAGCAGACUCCUGUGAUCUUCGGUUCGAUCAAGGAGGGGAUUCUAGAGCUGAUGGAUGAGAGACUGGGCACCUUCCGUGCCGAGGUGGCGGCCAUGAUGGGGUCGCGCACCCUUACCUUCAGGGAGUUCAGGGCAUGUGGAGCUCCGGACUAUCAUGGGGCGCGAGACCCCAUAGCGAGCACCAGAUGGUUGGCGGAUGUGGCCAACGCUUUCCGUACUAGCAGAUGUCCCGAGGGGGACAAGGUCAGAUUGGCGUCCUGUCUUCUGAAGGACAGGGCACGAGAUUGGUGGGAGGAGGUCGGGCAUGCUAUUGGGGAUGAUGCAGCAUUGGACGCUAUGACCUGGGCUGAUUUCUCUACCAGGUUCAGGGCGGAGUUUGCACCGGUCAUUGAGGUGCAACAGCUAGCUAGGGAGUUUCAGGACCUCACCCAGACUACAGAGACAGUGGCGGAGAUCACCGCCAAGUUCAGGGAGAGGGCUCUUCUCGUUCCUCAGUAUGUAGCUGAUGAGGAAAUGAAGAAGGCCCGUUAUCAUGAGAUGUUGCGGAGCGAUAUCCGCCAGUUUGUGAGCCGGUCCAGCUGUAAAACGCUGGAAGAUAUGAUUGCUAGAGCUCGGGAGAGGGAGAUUGAUCUUGAGAUGGAGAAGAAGAGGAAACCGGAGGCGGUUUCGGGUUCAGGCGGUUCGGGCAAAAAGCCCAAGGUUUCGGAUCACAGAUCUAGGAGUCAGCAGAGCCACGGUCGAUGUGGCAAGUGUGGGAGAUUGCACGAGGGAGCGUGCAAGGCAGGGAGUUCCGGCUGCUACAAGUGCGGUCGGAUUGGGCAUUUGAGUAGGGAUUGUACGGCCCCUGCUACUGCCGUCGCAGCAUCAGAUCUGAUUUGCUUUCAGUGCAAUCAGAGGGGACAUAAAAAGUCCCAGUGUCCGAGUUUAGCUUCAGCAGGGAAGGUGGCUGCACCUGCCCCUGCUACCUUGAGGAUUACAGAUGGCCGGCAGGGCCGAGCUGAUGCGCCAGUGGCGAAGAGUAGGGCGUUUCAGAUGACAGCAGAGGAGGCGCGAGCGACUCCUGAUGUGGUGACGGGUAUGUAUCUUCCCUUUUAUCUCUUUAUUAUUAUUGAUUAAAUGUUGCUUAUGGUUGUAUGUUUUAUUCAGGGUCGUUCUCUGUGAACGGCAUUUCUGCUUUGGUAUUAUUCGAUUCGGGGGCUACCCGAUCAUUCGUAUCUCUUGCGCUUAGCAAGAGGUUCAGUAGAGCUCCAGGGGAGCUGGAUUGUCCAUUAGAGGUUGAGAUAGCGGAUGAUAGGACCGUGAGGGUCGGCAGAGUGCACAGAGGGUGUUCUCUUCAGUUAUUUGAUGAGCAGUUUUCAGUGGAUUUGGUACCUAUUCCCCUGCGAGGGAAUAAGGUUAUUGUGGGUAUGGAUUGGCUAAGCCCCAAUGGGGCGGUGAUUGAUUGCGAGCUUCAGUUAGUGAGGGUUCGCACUCCCAGUGGGGGAGAGUUGGUGAUUCAGGGCGAGAGGCCACAGCGAGGACCGACCUUUUGUUCCGCCGCAAGGGCGAGGCGCUAUGUUCAGCAAGGUUGCGCCGAUUUUGUAGCUUAUGUUUUGGAUGCCCGGGUGAAGGGCAAGUCGACAGUGGAUGAUGUUCCUAUUGUUCGAGACUACCCGGACGUGUUUCCUGAGGAUUUGCCGGGGAUACCUCCUGAGAGACAGGUUGAGUUCAGGAUCGACCUCAUUCCUGGUGCGGCUCCGAUAGCCAAGGCACCGUAUCGACUAGCUCCCCCUGAGAUGCAGGAGUUGUCUACACAGCUGCAGGAGCUGUUAGACAAGGGUUUCAUUCGGCCGAGCAGUUCGCCUUGGGGAGCGCCGAUCCUGUUUGUGAGAAAGAAGGAUGGGUCGCAUCGUAUGUGUAUUGAUUAUCGGGAGUUGAAUAAGGUAACGGUGAAGAACCGUUACCCACUCCCGAGGAUAGAUGAUUUGUUUGAUCAGCUUCAGGGAGCGUCUUGGUUCUCCAAGAUCGAUCUACGCUCCGGAUAUCAUCAGAUGCGGGUUAGAGAUGAGGAUGUACAGAAGACUGCUUUCAGGACCAGGUAUGGUCAUUACGAGUUUGUGGUGAUGCCAUUUGGGCUCACCAAUGCUCCAGCCGCGUUCAUGGAUCUCAUGAACCGCGUGUGUAGGCCGAUGCUGGAUCGGUCAGUGAUAGUGUUCAUAGAUGACAUCUUGGUAUAUUCCAAGACGCAGGAGCAGCACGAGGAGCACCUGCGGGAGGUGCUAGAGGUUUUGAGGAGGGAGAGACUUUUCGCAAAGUUCUCCAAAUGUGAGUUCUGGUUGCGCGAGGUGCAGUUCCUUGGUCACCUCGUCAACCAGAAGGGUAUUCUGGUAGAUCCGGCCAAGAUAGAGGCCGUGAUGCAGUGGGAGGUCCCGAAGUCUCCAUCUGAGAUUCGGAGCUUCCUAGGGUUGGCAGGGUAUUAUCGGAGAUUUAUUCAGGAUUUCUCCAAGAUAGCAGUGCCGCUCACCCGACUGACCAAGAAGUCAGUGGUAUUUCGUUGGGGUCCGGAGCAGCAGACAGCAUUCGAGACCCUCAGGCAGAGAUUGUGCGAGGCUCCGAUCCUUACCUUGCCAGAGGGAGUAGAGGACUUUGUAGUCUAUUGUGAUGCCUCGAUCACAGGUUUGGGAGCAGUUCUGAUGCAGCGAGGCCAUGUGAUAGCUUAUGCCUCGAGACAGUUGAAGCCUCACGAGGCUAAUUAUCCUACCCAUGAUUUGGAGCUGGGGGCAGUUGUGUUUGCCCUCAAGAUUUGGAGGCAUUACCUUUAUGGGGUCCGUUGUACUAUUUACACGGAUCACAAGAGUUUGAGGUACCUUAUGGAUCAGCCGAGUCUGAACAUGAGGCAGAGGAGGUGGUUGGAUGUGCUAAAGGAUUACGACUGUGAGAUCCUUUACCAUCCAGGGAAGGCCAACGUGGUGGCCGACGCCCUAAGCCGCAAAGUGUCGGCGGCCCCUAUCAGAGAUCUAUGUUUGAGGAUGACAGUGAUCACUCCGUUGUUGGAGCGGAUCAAGGAGGCUCAGGUGGAGGGCCUCAAGGAGGAGAGACAGAAGUGUGAGAGGAUCGUGGGCCGAGUAGCCUCGUUUGAUUAUGAUAGUCGUGGUUUGCUGACGCUUCACGGGAGAGUGUGGGUACCGUACUGGGGUGGAGUACGGCAAGUGUUGAUGGAUGAGGCUCAUAAGUCUCGGUUUUCUAUCCACCCAGGGGCGACGAAGAUGUAUCGAGAUCUUCGACCUGAUUAUUGGUGGCCCUGCAUGAAGCGGGACGUCGCCUGGUACGUCGAGAGAUGCCUGACCUGCCGGAAGGUCAAGGCGGAGCACCAGAGACCUCACGGCAGGAUGCAGCCGUUAGACAUUCCCGUGUGGAAAUGGGAGGACAUCACCAUGGAUUUUGUCACCAAGCUUCCCAGGACCGCACGAGGAGUGGAUUCGAUAUGGGUAGUAGUGGAUCGGUUGACGAAGAGUGCCCAUUUUAUCCCGAUCCAGGAGAGUAUAUCGGCGGAGAAGUUAGCCGAUAUCUAUGUGCGAGAGAUUGUGGCACGUCAUGGAGUGCCGGUAUCGGUGGUGUCAGACCGAGAUGUCCGUUUCACAUCCAGAUUCUGGAAGCGGUUCCACGACGAGAUGGGUACUCGUCUCCAUUUCAGCACCGCUUUCCACCCUCAGACAGACGGGCAGAGCGAGAGGACGAUUCAGACUCUCGAGGACAUGCUUAGGGCAUGUGUCCUAGAUUUCGGUGGCAGUUGGGAUACGUAUCUUCCGUUAGCGGAAUUCUCGUAUAACAACAGUUAUCAUGCGAGCAUUGAUCGACCUCCCUUUGAGAUGCUGUAUGGGAGGAAGUGUAGGACCCCGAUUUGUUGGGGCGAGGUCGGUCAGCGGGUCAUCGGGAGCACGGAGGUGGUGCUCAAGACGACUGAGUUGAUCCAGCAGGUCCGUAGUAGACUGCAGACUGCUCAGAGUCGGCAGAAGAGCUACGCCGAUAGGAGGCGUUCGGACUUGGAGUUCCAGGUGGGGGAUAUGGUCCUUCUGAAAGUCUCACCUUGGAAGGGUGUCAUCAGGUUCCGGAAGAGGGGCAAGUUGGGCCCCAGAUUUAUUGGUCCUUUCAGGGUUUUGGCCCGGGUGGGUCGGGUUGCUUAUCGGUUAGAUCUUCCUGAGGAGCUUAGUCAGAUCCACAACACUUUCCAUGUGUCUCAGUUGAGGAAGUGUUUGGUGGAUGAGUCAGCAGUCGUUCCCCUAGAGGAUAUUCAGGUUGAUAGCAGCCUGAAUUAUAUUGAGAGACCGGUCGCGAUUCUGGACCGGAAGACCAAGACCUUGAGGAACAAGGAAAUUCAGUUAGUGAAGGUGCAGUGGCAGCACCGGAAGGGGUCUGAGUGGACGUGGGAGGCUGAGGAGGAGAUGAGAGAGCACUACCCAGAGAUAUUUGCAGAUUCAGCCGUAGCAGACUUCGAGGACGAAGUCUGAGAUAAGUGGGGGAGAAUUGUAACGACCCGUUCCCGGUAUGUUAAUUUAUUGGUAAUUGUUGUGAGUUUUGCAAGAGGAACUCGGCGAGUUCAUAGCCUGACUCGCCGAGUAGGGUCGCGGCUGCGAGCACGCGUGAGCCGGGGACUCGGCGAGUCCAUAUCCUGGACUCGGCGAGUCCAUCCGUCUGGGUGAAACCCUAAAUCCCCGGGUUGCCCACUAUUUAAACCACCUUAUAGCCCCAUUCUCGCCUCCCUCACCCUGAGAACACAGUGAGAAAACCCUAAUCCUCCCUUGAGAGCUUAUAAGUGAUUUGGUGCCAUUUUGUGAAGGUGUGAAGAAGGAGAAGAAGAAAGAAGCAAGGAAACGAGUUGUAGUGCAAAGAUCCAAGGGCAAAUCUGAGUUUAUUGAGGUAUUUUCGGAGUUCCCUUCUUGUUAUAUGCUUUAAACUUCCAUUAGAGCUCUUCUAAGAGCUAUUUGAUGUUUGUUCCAAGCCUUAUGUUUGCAUGAAUGUCUUAAUAAGUCGAAAUACCUUUGGAUCUGAAUGUUGGGGUGUUGUAGAGCCCAGAUCUACUGUCUUUUUGGAGUUACUUUGCAUAUUAAUCAUAGAUCUACCCAUUUUAUGCAUCUUUUAGCCUUAUUUCCCUUAUUCAUGAGGUUGUGCACGUAAAGUUGGAAACUUUACGUGGUAAAUCAGCUUAUUGGACUCAGAUCUAUCAAUUGUAUGUGUUGGAUUCAAACAAAAUCGAGUAAAAAUCAGUUGCAUGGCGGCAACUCGGCGAGUCGGGAAGAACGACUCGGCGAGUUGGGUCGCGAGUUCCCGAGUCCUUCAUUUUGAUCAGUGUCGAGUGAAUCCAGUGAGUUAGAGAGUGGACUCAGCGAGUUGAGGGUAGACUCAGUGAUGGAGGGACUCGGCGAGUUGUUCAUACAACUCGGCGAGUCCAAGGCAAUCUUCUUAGGAUCAUGAACAACUCGUCGAGUUUGUUCAUACGGCUCGGCGAGUCGGAUGAAGAUUGUCUGAGUUCUUGGAUCAAGAGUGUACUCGUCGAGUCGAUGCCACACUCGACGAGUAGCAGCGUGUAGAACUGAGAAGUGAGAGUAGGACUCGGCGAGUUGGGUGGCCCAACUCGGCGAGUCAGCCCCAAAAGUAAGUUGACUUUGACCAAGGGUAAAAGAGUCAUUUUACCCCAAGUGCAGUGUUUAGUAUUUGAUUGAGUGUGUUCAUGGGCUUGUAGCCGAGGAGAUUCAGGAGCAGCAGCCGGUAGCUUUCAGAGACACACACUCAGCCGCCAGUUUACGAGGUGAGUUUCCUUCCAGUAGGGACGGGUCUAAGGCCACAAUGCCGGCCCGUCCAGUUAGCAGUAGUUUCCGGACUUGAUCCGAUGCAGAAGUUAGUAUGUUUGAUGCCUUCGUGGCUCAGACAGGAUUUGUGAGCUAUGUUUUAUGUGUUAUGUAUUAUGUGUUCCGGGCUACGGCCCGAUGUAGUAUGCAGUAUAUGUGUUCAUGCUAGUUGUUAUGAUAUGCUAUGCUAUGUUCAGUCCCGGACUUCGGUCCGAUGCAGCCAGUUCCGGACUUCGGUCCGAUGCAGUUAGUUCCGGACUUUGGUCCGAUGCAGGGGACAAGGUCCCAGUCAGUUCCGGACUUCGGUCCGAUGCAGUUAGUUCCGGACCUUGGUCCGAUGCAGGGGACAAGGUCCCAGUCAGUUCCGGACUUCGGUCCGAUGCAGUUUCCGGGCUUCGUCCCGAUGCAGUGGGCAAGGCCCGAUAUGUGUUUAUAUGAUAUUGCUAUUGUAUGGUAUGUGGUAUUUUGGGGGAGCUCACUAAGCUUCGUGCUUACAGUUUCA